AGCGAACGCUGGCGGCAGGCCUAACACAUGCAAGUCGAACGAACUCUUCGGAGUUAGUGGCGGACGGGUGAGUAACACGUGGGAACGUGCCUUUUGGUUCGGAAUAACUCAGGGAAACUUGUGCUAAUACCGAAUGUGCCCUUCGGGGGAAAGAUUUAUCGCUAUUAGAGCGGCCCGCGUCUGAUUAGCUAGUUGGUGAGGUAACGGCUCACCAAGGCGACGAUCAGUAGCUGGUCUGAGAGGAUGACCAGCCACACUGGGACUGAGACACGGCCCAGACUCCUACGGGAGGCAGCAGUGGGGAAUCUUGCGGAAUGGGCGAAAGCCUGACGCAGCCAUGCCGCGUGAAUGAUGAAGGUCUUAGGAUUGUAAAAUUCUUUCACCGGGGACGAUAAUGACGGUACCCGGAGAAGAAGCCCCGGCUAACUUCGUG
rnacentral:rRNA from 1 species